rnacentral:rRNA from 1 species
GACGAACGCUGGCGGCGUGCUUAACACAUGCAAGUCGAACGGAGUGGCGAACGGGUGAGUAACACGUGGGUGACCUGCCCUGCACUUCGGGCUAAGCCUGGGAAACUGGGUCUAAUACCGGAUAGUGUGGGAUGGGCCCGCGGCCUAUCAGCUUGUUGGUGGGGUAAUGGCCUACCAAGGCGGCGACGGGUAGCCGGCCUGAGAGGGUGGACGGCAACAUGGGGGCUGGGACACGAGCCAGACUCCGACGGGAGGCAGCAGUGGGGAAUAUUGCACAAUGGGAGGAAGCCUGAUGAAGCGACGCGGCGUGGGGGAUGACGGCAUUCGGGUUGUAAACUCCUUUCACCAGCGACGCGGUAGAUGGAGAAGAAGCACCGGCUAACUACGUGCCAGCCGCCGCGGUAAUAC